AGAGAGCAAGGCCAAAAACCCAGAACUGUUGAGGUCAACAAAAUUAAGGAAGCAUGUUGCUACCUUAUGUCAGCUUCUCGACCUGAACAAUCAGGAACUCGAGCAAGUUGCUCGUUUUAUGGGACACGACAUUAGAGUCCAUUGUGAGUUUUAUCGGCAGACCGAUAAAACUUUCCAAGUGGCCAAGAUUGCCAAACUACUGUUUGCGAUGGAACGUGGGACAGAGUCGCUGAAGGGAAAGAGUCUGCAAACCCUGGACUCUGUUAUCACUGGAAGAGCACAUGCAGCCACCUCAACCAAAGGUCUGAAAAGUGGCAAAAAGAGAAGACCAGAUCCAGGGAGACGACAGGAAGCUCAAGAUGAAUGAGAAGUGCCACAUUCAGCUGUAGCAACGAGAUCUGAUGAUGAAGAUGAUGGAGGCGGUAACAGUACCAACUUGGACACUGAAAACACAGGCACCUACAAAAGGCCACCGAAGAUGCAGUCAAUUAAAGAAAGAAAUUAUGCUGAUGACGCUGAUGACGACAUGAGUGAUGUUUCUGGCAGUGAAUAUGGCGAUGGAGGGGUGUGCCAUAAGACAGUUAAGAAGACUGUCAAGAAAAAAAAGACAAUGUUGGGAAGACAUGGAUUGGUCUAUGACGCAUCUUUCACACAUGGCCAAGAACAACCAUCAACAUCAGGGAGCGCCACCAAACUUUUUGGAGGA